CAUAUUAAAUCUAUCGCACGGGCAUCAACAUUUGGUUCUUACAGAAGCAUGGGUUUGAAGCAGGAUAGUCGGCAUGAUUAUCUUUGUUCAAGAGUACUUUAGACUUUUCAGGGUAGAAAAAAUGCAACGUUUAACCCUAAGACUAGAGAGCCACCGCAUUCAAAGUAUCUCGCCUCUAUAUCUGAAGAUUUCUCCAUUCUACUGUAUUUCUAUCUCUGUCAUACAUACUGCUGCUCAUCAUCUUCGUUUCUUUUUGCCCUUUAUUUGGUCUCCUUUCAAAGUGUCUCCAUUUGAAUAAUUUUGGGUAGUCCGUUAACCUGCAAAGAUUGGUGUUCUCUCUUGAGUUCAACUCUUCUCAGCAGCUUUCGAUCUAUCUCCUUCUCUCAUCAGAUUCAAUAGCAUUAGACUCAGUCCGCAUUUUGAUAUUGUGCUUUCUCGGGUGUUUUGUUGCAAUUUUGCAAAAGCAUUGUUGCAAAAGAUUGGUCUUAUUCUCAUUCUUUCUGCUUAAAUCUUUUGUUCGUUUAGUUUUCUGAGUAAUUGAAGUGGUACUUAGUUCUUUAGUUCUUAGCUAUAGGUUGCACAAUUGUAUUGGUGAUUAACCAAUUACUAUCUUUCAUUUUCCUACUUCAUCACUUCCUCUUAUGACUGUCCGAGCCAAGUGAGCGCUCAGGCUGAUUUUUUCAGGGUAAGCAGUGUUGAAUAUGAAUCUACCCUGCAAAAUAGUAGAACAACAACAGCAGCAACAUACCCAGUGAAAUCCCACAAUGUGGAGUCUGGGGAGGGUAAAGUGUACGCAGACCUUACCCCUGAAGCGAAAAACACUAAUUGAAUCUCAAGCUGUUAUAUGGUUUGCUUCUAUCUGUCCAUUCUUAUUCUUAGGUACUUACUAGAGGUUCAUGUAGUUUUCCGCUCUAAGGUUCUCCUUAUACCAAGUGUGGUAGAUGGAAGGUUGAUCUGCUAAUAACUUUACUACAAAUUUCCCUAAUUGACUGUAUUGCUUUUUUUUUUUUUUUUUUUGUGUGUGAAUUGAAAUUAAGUAGUUGCUUUCUGAUAUCAUUAAAGAGACUCAUGCCCGAUCUAUAUACAGGUAAGAACCAACAAUUUUUUUAGAACAGAUAGCUACUACUCUGUUACCUUCUAAAAAAAAAAAAGGGUAAAGAUAGCUACUACUUUGAGGAACUGCUCUCUGAAUCUCUAAGCUGAUAUACAAGCAUAGUGACAGGUUUGACCCCGUCACUUUUUUUGAACUAAUUGAUAGACACUCGGUUUUCUCAGUCAAUCACCUUUUUAUUCAUUGUAAAGUUGUCAAGUAAUAUUGGGAGCUCUUCUAAAAUCUGUCUGAUGUGGUUUGGGUGAUGCCUUCAGAUGUUAGAUGUUACAAGUCUAUUUGAUUGUUGCCAUGAUCUUCAUCCUUACCUUCAGCUUAGUGUGUGUCAUACUAUUGUGUUGAUAAGUUGGGGCCUCCACCUAUGUUUUAUUAUCAUGAUUCUCUGUCCUGUAUGGGCUGGUACUGAGCUGUACAAAGCUAGAGAAACUUGCUGAUUCCCUGGAAGGUAAUAUACAUUUGAUAAUGGAAUAAUGAUCAGAAGUAUAUGCUCUCAAUGACAAUUUUUUUUUAUAGUUUUGGGACUUCCAUAUUCACGAUAUGCUGCUGAAGAUAUCCCAGUCGUCAAGAGCAUAAUACAGGGUGAACCAAGUUUUCAUCUAUUUGGAUUCAUAAUGUGUGUCGGUGCAACAGCUGCAAGAGCACUCAAGUCAGUGCUUCAGGGGAUUUUGCUGUCCUCCGAAGGGGAGAAGCUGAAUUCCAUGAACCUUCCAAUUUAUAUGGCUCCUAUAACAGUUGUAUUUCUAUUACCAGCAACACUUUUGAUGGAAGAAAAGGUAGUUGGCAUCACAUUGGCACUUGCAAGAGACGAUAGUAGAAUCAUUUGGCUUUUGCUAUUCAAUUCCGCUCUAGCAUAUUUUGUAAAUCUGACCAAUUUUCUGGUGACAAAACGCAGGUAAUAUACAUUUGAUAAUGGAAUAAUGAUCAGAAGUAUAUGCUCUCGAUGACAGAAAUUUUUUAUAUUUUUGGGACUUCCAUAUUCACGAUAUGCUGCUGAAGAUAUCCCAAUCGUCAAGAGCAUAAUACAGAUAGGUUAAAGGAAUGAUGUAGAUGUGCAUGGACAGAGGAAACUGUUUUUUGGAAUAAGGUGCCAUUUUAGGUGGACAGGCACAUCUACUAGAUUUAUAAGGUGCCAUUUUGGGUGGACAGGCACAUCUACUAGAUUUUGGUUUCAUCUAAUGAAGUUUGAAGUACGUUUGCACCGCAGUGUACCAUUUAAGGAGUGUAGUUAUUUGAUUAAGUUCCUCUUCAAUGUUCCUAAAGGAAAUUUACAUUUAUAGCUUGAUCAUGUCUGAUUGCAACGUCAUUCAAGACAAGCAAAAUUUUUUUUUUUUUUUUGGUCAAUUCAAGAUCAAUAAGUUAUAAUUUCCAUUCGCGCAUCUCUGUAAUUUUGAUCCAAAAAUGUAAAAAGUGCUCGAGUCACAUGUGACAUCAGGUAUCUAGUUAAGUU